GUCUACAGCCAUGCUACCCUGAACAAGUCUGAUACCAUCAGAUCUCGGAAGCUAAGCAGCGUCAGGCUUGGUUAGUACUUGGAUGGGAGACCACCUAAGAAGAUCAGGUGCUGUAGGUG
rnacentral:rRNA from 1 species